AGAGCGAACGCUGGCGGCAGGCCUAACACAUGCAAGUCGAACGGACCCUUCGGGGUUAGUGGCGGACGGGUGAGUAACACGUGGGAACGUGCCUUUAGGUUCGGAAUAGCUCCUGGAAACGGGUGGUAAUGCCGAAUGUGCCCUUCGGGGGAAAGAUUUAUCGCCUUUAGAGCGGCCCGCGUCUGAUUAGCUUGUUGGUGAGGUAAUGGCUCACCAAGGCUACGAUCAGUAGCUGGUCUGAGAGGAUGACCAGCCACAUUGGGACUGAGACACGGCCCAAACUCCUACGGGAGGCAGCAGUGGGGAAUCUUGCGCAAUGGGCGAAAGCCUGACGCAGCCAUGCCGCGUGUAUGAUGAAGGUCUUAGGAUUGUAAAAAUACUUUCACCGGUGAAGAUAAUGACUGUAGCCGGAGAAGAAGCCCCGGCUAACUCGUGCCAGCCAGCCGC
rnacentral:rRNA from 1 species